rnacentral:rRNA from 1 species
AUUGAACGCUGGCGGCAGGCCUAACACAUGCAAGUCGAGCGGAUGAAGGGAGCUUGCUCCUGGAUUCAGCGGCGGACGGGUGAGUAAUGCCUAGGAAUCUGCCUGGUAGUGGGGGAUAACGUCCGGAAACGGGCGCUAAUACAGCAUACGUCCUGAGGGAGAAAGUGGGGGAUCUUCGGACCUCACGCUAUCAGAUGAGCCUAGGUCGGAUUAGCUAGUUGGCGGGGUAAAGGCCUACCAAGGCGACGAUCCGUAACUGGUCUGAGAGGAUGAUCAGUCACACUGGAACUGAGACACGGUCCAGACUCCUACGGGAGGCAGCAGUGGGGAAUAUUGGACAAUGGGCGAAAGCCUGAUCCAGCCAUGCCGCGUGUGUGAAGAAGGUCUUCGGAUUGUAAAGCACUUUAAGUUGGGAGGAAGGGCAGUAAGUUAAUACCUUGCUGUUUUGACGUUACCAACAGAAUAAGCACCGGCUAACUUCGUG